AUAGUGAAACCUUGUCUCAAAAAGGAAAAAAAAAAAAAAAAAAAUUCAUAUUUCUCUGUAACUUCCCAGUCCAGAAAGGAAUGUGUAAUCAUUGCAAGAAAGAUAAAAAUAGACAGACAUGGUGGUACACCCUGGUAAUCACCAGGAGUUGGAGGCCAGCCUGGGCUACAUAGUGAGUUCAAGGUCGGCCUGAACUGCCUACCAAGAUCUUGUCUCAAGAAAAGCUCAGCAAAUAAAAGCCGUGUUAGCCAAAAGUUACAUACAGAUACACAUUCACGGGCCUCUGCUAGGUAAGUUCUGUGCAGACUCCGCCCCUCCGCGGUGUUCUGCCAACCUUGUCCUGCCUCAGAGGGACCCGCUGGCUUCGGUCCUAGUCCUCCCUCCCCGGCAGAGCUGGCCGCAUGGUCCAGAGCUGUCCACCCUGCUGGGUGUGUUACAGGAAGUAGGACGCGUAGGAGGAGCCAGGGCUCCUGGGCAGGUGAAGGGAAGCCUGGGGGAGCCGUGGCUUUUGGGUCCCUCAGCCUAGGCCUGCCCUCCUGGUGCUGGGCCAUGUGGCUGUCACUGCCCUGAGGGGAGGAGUGGGAUGUGAGGACUGUGAGGCUGGCAGGGCGCUGAGGGAGGCUGAACUGGACCAGAGCGCCCGUCCCUGCGCCCAGCCCCGCCUGUGGAGAGCAGUGGGGAUGAACGUGCUCUUCCUUCCUGACAGUGGCGCAGGGCUGCCACCCCUAACCUUCCCCAAGGAGGAGCUGGGCCCAGGCUGACCGGGGCUGAGGUUAGAAAGUGCUCGACCCCAUCUGCCAUCCCCGGGAAGAACUGGGUGUUCGGAGGUGGAGACUGCAGGCGUCUAGGAGCUGGGGUGCAGCUGGUCCCGAUUCAAGAGCGGCCUCGGAGGACCAGGGCAGGACAUCAGUGCCUUUUGGAUAUCAGCCAGCACCUCACCACCUUCUUCUCCUGGACACUGAGCUGUCUCCUCAUGGGGUCACCAGGGCCAGCCCUGCUGGACAGGAAGUCAGGCGAGCAGCAGCUCCCAACCCUGCCUGGGCCUCUUCCUGUCCCCAGGGACGGGCCGGAGGAGCACCUGACAGGUGGCCUUCCCUGUUUGCACACCUGUGGGAGCCCCACCCCACCCUGCGCAGCCCCCAAGCCUCUAGGAGUUCCUCCUUCCUGGCCCACGGGCGACCCUGAAAGCUCACAUGUUGGAAGCACAAUCCCCAAACUCACGUGUCAGUGCUACUUGGAGGGGCCUCUGGGCCGGCUGGAGAGGUAGACGAGGAUGUGAAGGUGGAGGCCAUGUGAUGCGGUGGUGGUUUUAUAAGACGACGAAGAGCUGGGACAAGGCAGAAAGAUUGCUAUCCUGGAUAACAGUAAUUUAGGGAGACCCUGUCUCAAAAAAAAAGAAAAAGAAAAAGAAAAAACAAGUGCUAGGGAGGAAGCUCAGUCUGAUAGCUCUGAGUCCAAUCCUGAGUGCAAAAAAAAUAUUUUUAAAAGAGGAGAGGAAGGGGAGGAGAAGCAGAGGACAGCUGGGUGUGACAGUGCAUGCACAGAAUCCCAGUGGCUCGGGAGGCUGAGGCAAGAGAA